rnacentral:rRNA from 1 species
GAUGAACGCUAGCGGCAGGCUUAAUACAUGCAAGUCGAGGGGCAUCAAGGUACACGAAAGUGUAUUGUUGGCGACCGGCGGACGGGUGAGUAAUAGGUAGGUAACCUACCUCAUACUGAGGCAUAGCUGGGAGAAAUUCCAGGUAAUUCCUCAUGAGGUUAUAUGACACAUGUGAUAUAAUCAAAGGUAUCGCAAGGUACUGGUAUGAGAUGGGCUUACUGACCAUUAGCUAGUUGGUGAGAUAAGAGCUCACCAAGGCGAAGAUGGUUAGGGGUUUGAGAGAGAGAUCCCCCACAUUGGAACUGAGAUACGGUCCAGACUCCUACGGGAGGCAGCAGUAGGGAAUAUUGGGCAAUGGGCGGAAGCCUGACCCAGCCAUGCCGCGUGAAGGAAGACGGGCCUUAAUGGGUUGUAAACUUCUUUACUAUGCGACUAACUAGAUUUACGAGAUAAAUUCUAUAGAAUGUAGCAUAGCAAAAAGCACCC